rnacentral:rRNA from 1 species
CAGAGGUGGCAAGCGUUGUUCGGAAUUACUGGGCGUAAAGGGCGCGUAGGCGGCCAUCUAAGUCAGACGUGAAAUCCCCCGGCUUAACCUGGGAACUGCGUCUGAUACUGGAAGGCUUGAGUAUGGGAGAGGGAUGUAGAAUUCCAGGUGUAGCGGUGAAAUGCGUAGAUAUCUGGAGGAAUACCGGUGGCGAAGGCGGCAUCCUGGACCAUUACUGACGCUGAGGCGCGAAAGCUAGGGGAGCAAACGGGAUUAGAUACCCCGGUAGUCCUAGCCCUAAACGAUGAAUACUUGGUGUGGCGGGUAUCGAUCCCUGCCGUGCCGAAGCUAACGCAUUAAGUAUUCCGCCUGGGGAGUACGGUCGCAAGGCUG